AUUGAACGCUGGCGGCAUGCCUAACACAUGCAAGUCGAACGGUAACGACGGAAGCUUGCUUCCGGGCGACGAGUGGCGGACGGGUGAGUAAUACUUAGGAAUCUGCCCAGUAGUGGGGGACAACCAGGAGAAAUUCUGGCUAAUACCGCAUACGCACUACGGUGGAAAGUGGGGGACCUUCGGGCCUCACGCUAUUGGAUGAGCCUAAGUCGGAUUAGCUAGUUGGUGAGGUAAUGGCUCACCAAGGCGACGAUCCGUAGCUGGUCUGAGAGGACGAUCAGCCACACUGGGACUGAGACACGGCCCAGACUCCUACGGGAGGCAGCAGUGGGGAAUAUUGGACAAUGGGCGCAAGCCUGAUCCAGCAAUGCCGCGUGUGUGAAGAAGGCCUGCGGGUUGUAAAGCACUUUCAGUAGAGAAGAAAAGCCUAGGGUUAAUAGCCCUGAGUCUUGACGUAACCUACAGAAGAAGCACCGGCUAACUCCG
rnacentral:rRNA from 1 species